AUUGAACGCUGGCGGCAGGCCUAACACAUGCAAGUCGAACGAGUGGCGGACGGGUGAGUAAUGUCUGGGAAACUGCCUGAUGGAGGGGGAUAACUACUGGAAACGGUAGCUAAUACCGCAUACCAUCAGAUGUGCCCAGAUGGGAUUAGCUUGGUGGUGGGGUAACGGCUCACCCAGGCGACGAUCCCUAGCUGGCUUGAGAGGAUGACCAGCAAAACGGGAACUGAGACACGGUCCAGACUCCGACGUGAGGCAGCAGUGGGGAAUAUUGCACAAUGGGCGCAAGCCUGAUGCAGCCAUGCCGCGUGUAUGAAGAAGGCCUUCGGGUUUUAAAGUACUUUCAGCGGGGAGGCGUUACCCGCAGAAGAAGCACCGGCUAACUCCGUGCCAGCCGCCGCGGUAAUAC
rnacentral:rRNA from 1 species